rnacentral:tRNA from 1 species
AGCUCCAUAGUGUAGUAGUUAGCACGUCUGCUUUACAUGCAGCAGGUCCUGGGGUCAUGCCCAAGGUGAAGCCA